rnacentral:misc_RNA from 1 species
UCACGUAUCCACGUAUCAACCAUUGCGAACUGUCUUACCUUUGAGAAGUUUUGUAAAGUGAUUGGAGUAGAUCUCGGUCUAUUCUGCUUCUCAAAGUGUAUUUAAUCACUUUCAUUAUUAACAACUUUAACCAAAUUUUUAACUAUUGAACUGAUCUAUUUCUUACGCUUCGGCGAAGAAAUCAUUACGAAACAUAAGAA